UAACGUUUACAAAAUCGAGACCACGCAUGCUGGGGAUUUGGGAUUCAGAAAAUGCUGGGUGUUUGGAAUUCCGUCAAGCAUCUAUGAGAACUUUGAAGACUGAAAUGGAAAAGGGUUCCAUGUGAACAGCUAUUGGACAUGGGUUAGCGGGUCCUAAGCGAAAGCUUAACUGCGGGAAUUUUGGGGCUUUCUUGUCCUCGUAUUUCGCGAAAGGGAAUGAGGAUAAUAUUCCUUAGCCAGGAAGAGGAUACUGNUUUGGGGCUUUCUUGUCCUCGUAUUUCGCGAAAGGGAAUGAGGAUAAUAUUCCUUAGCCAGGAAGAGGAUACUGUACGGUGACGUGAACGAACUCCUCAACGCAGGUGGGUGCCCCGGGAAGCGUUGUCUUUGCUUUUUAACAACCUCUUAUAAACAUACCCUGGAAUCAGAUUAUCUGGAGAUAGGGUUGACUGGUUGGUAAAGCUUCCUGGCUUCCAGGGNGGUCGAUAGAAGAAAGUAGAUAAGGGAAGUCGGCAAAAUGGAUCCGUAACUUCGGGAAAAGGAUUGGCUCUGAGUGCUGGGUGUAUAGCGCCAGUGUGUUCAUCGUCGGUUGGAGCUGCGCGGGCCCGUUCGUGCUUCGCGGCGCAUCUGUGGAUCGCUGGCACUGAGCGCGAUGUGAGCACUGGCCUGUGAACACAGUGAGCAGUUAGCUCAGAACUGGAGCGGACAAGGGGAAUCCGACUGUUCAAUUAAAACAGAGCAUUGCGAUGGCCGCAGGCGGUGCUGACAGAAUGUGAUUUCUGCCCAGCGCCCUGAAUGUCGAUAUGAUGACAUUCAAUCAAGCACGGGUGAACAGCGGACGUAACUACGACCUGAUAAUUUCAAGUAAAGGUGGGUUUUGGGGAGGAGGGCUGGUUCUUCAGAAAACUACCAGUUGGUUAUUGAGUGAGGGAGCCCCUAUUCCUGCGGCAUGCCCUUCGUAAGAGGCAACCGCUUUGACGCGUCUUAAGAGUUCACAUUAUACGACCAAGUAGGGCGUCGGAUUACUGUAUCACAAAAGUAUCAUGCAGACUUUUGAACAAUUGCACGAGACUGCCUGCAGCCCGGAGGUCUUCUGUUGACCCUGUCCGCUACAUGCAAUCCUCAGAUUUGUUGGCUAAGGGGGAGGCAGUCGGCACUAAUUUCAUGCUGCAUAAUCCAUGCCGAGCGCUCUGAGAUCCUAAGUCUCUGCGUGAGUACCGUCUUGUUUUUUCGUGCAAUGAAGCCAAGGAAUCCACAUACUAAUGCCUGUACUGUUACCCGAUAUCCUCGCGCUCCACACUGUUUUUUGAGGNCUUGAUAUUUCUCUUCUUUCUGUAGGGGGGCCACUCCGAGGGAGUUCUUCUUGUAGUCCUCGAAGACGAUCGCCACAUCCACUAUUGCCGAAUUUUUGCGCUUGUCGUUUCGAAGAAUAAUAUCUGGCUGCAGCACUCGAUCCUUCUCUUAGGGGCAUGCGGCUUCCCUUACCAACUUUCUUCUAUCGACCAGAGGCUGCUAACCUUGGAGACCUGAUGCGGUUAAUGGUACGGCCAGGGGUGUAAAU
rnacentral:ncRNA from 1 species